UACAGAGGGUGCGAGCGUUAAUCGGAUUUACUGGGCGUAAAGCGUUCGUAGGCGGCUUUUUUAGUCGGAUGUGAAAUCACCGAGCUUAACUUGGGAAUUGCAGUCGAUACUUGGAAGCUAGAGUAUGGGAGAGAAUGGUAGAAUUCCAGGUGUAGCGGUGAGAUGCGUAGAGAUCUGGAGGAAUACCGAUGGCGAAGGCAGCCAUCUGGCCUAAUACUGACGCGGAGGUACGAAAGCAUGGGGAGCAAACAGG
rnacentral:misc_RNA from 1 species